CAGGCCUAAUACAUGCAAGUCGAGCGCGCCCUUCGGGGUGAGCGGCGGACGGGUGAGUAACGCGUGGGAAUAUGCCCUUCUCUAAGGAAUAGCCUCUGGAAACGGAGAGUAAUACCUUAUACGCCCUUUGGGGGAAAGAUUUAUCGGAGAAGGAUUAGCCCGCGUUAGAUUAGGUAGUUGGUGGGGUAAUGGCCUACCAAGCCUACGAUCUAUAGCUGGUUUGAGAGGAUGAUCAGCCACACUGGGACUGAGACACGGCCCAGACUCCUACGGGAGGCAGCAGUAGGGAAUCUUAGACAAUGGGGGCAACCCUGAUCUAGCCAUGCCGCGUGUGUGAUGAAGGCCCUAGGGUCGUAAAGCACUUUCGCCAGAGAUGAUAAUGACAGUAUCUGGUAAAGAAACCCCGGCUAACUCCGUGCCAGCAGCCGCGGUAAUACGGAGGGGGUUAGCGUUGUUCGGAAUUACUGGGCGUAAAGCGCACGUAGGCGGAUUAGUAAGUUAGAGGUGAAAUCCCAGGGCUCAACCCUGGAACUGCCUUUAAUACUGCUAGUCUUGAGUUCGAGAGAGGUAAGUGGAAUUCCGAGUGUAGAGGUGAAAUUCGUAGAUAUUCGGAGGAACACCAGUGGCGAAGGCGGCUUACUGGCUCGAUACUGACGCUGAGGUGCGAAAGUGUGGGGAGCAAACAGGAUUAGAUACCCUGGUAGUCCACACCGUAAACGUUGAAUGCCAGACGUCAGCAAGUAUACUUGUUGGUGUCACACCUAACGGAUUAAGC
rnacentral:rRNA from 1 species